GUGUAGAGCCAUGCCACGCUGAAUGUGCCCAAUCUUGUCUGAUCUUGGAAGCUAAGCAGGGUUGGGCCUGGUUAGUACUUAGAUGGGAGACUACCUAGGAAUACCAGGUGCUGUAGGUG
rnacentral:rRNA from 1 species